rnacentral:rRNA from 1 species
GAUGAACGCUAGCGGCAGGCCUAAUACAUGCAAGUCGAACGGUAAGUAGAGUAGCAAUACUUUGCCUAGAGUGACGUACGGGUGCGUAACACGUAUGCAACCUACCUAUAACAGGAGGAUAGCUCGGGGAAACUCGAAUUAACCCUCCAUAAUAUAAUUGAAUGGCAUCAUUUGAUUAUUAAAACUCCGGUGGUUAUAGAUGGGCAUGCGUCUGAUUAGUUAGUUGGCGGGGUAAAGGCCCACCAAGACGAUGAUCAGUAGGGGAACUGAGAGGUUGAUCCCCCACACUGGCACUGAGAUACGGGCCAGACUCCUACGGGAGGCAGCAGUAGGGAAUAUUGGUCAAUGGAUGCAAGUCUGAACCAGCCAUGCCGCGUGCAGGAAGAAGGCCUUCUGGGUUGUAAAC